AGAGUUUGAUCCUGGCUCAGAUUGAACGCUGGCGGCAUGCCUAACACAUGCAAGUCGAACGGAAACGAUGGGAGCUUGCUCCCAGGCGUCGAGUGGCGGACGGGUGAGUAAUACUUAGGAAUCUGCCCAUUAGUGGGGGACAACUCGAGGAAACUCGAGCUAAUACCGCAUACGCCCUACGGGGGAAAGCGGAGGACCUUUCGGGGCUUCGCGCUAAUGGAUGAGCCUAAGCCGGAUUAGCUAGUUGGUAGGGUAAAAGCCUACCAAGGCGACGAUCCGUAGCUGGUCUGAGAGGACGAUCAGCCACACUGGGACUGAGACACGGCCCAGACUCCUACGGGAGGCAGCAGUGGGGAAUAUUGCACAAUGGGCGCAAGCCUGAUGCAGCAAUGCCGCGUGUGUGAAGAAGGCCUGCGGGUUGUAAAGCACUUUCAGUAGAGAAGAAAAGCUUAGGGUUAAUACCCCUGAGUCUUGACGUUACCUACAGAAGAAGCUCCGGCUAACUCCGUGCCAGCAGCCGCGGUAAUACGGAGGGAGCGAGCGUUAAUCGGAAUUACUGGGCGUAAAGCGCGCGUAGGCGGCUUUGUAAGUCGGAUGUGAAAGCCCUGGGCUCAACCUGGGAAUUGCAUUCGAUACUGCAGAGCUAGAGUAUGGUAGAGGGAAGUGGAAUUUCCGGUGUACCGGUGAAAUGCGUAGAUA
rnacentral:rRNA from 1 species